CAAACAAACUGGACUCAUGCCUGAGCUUGAGGGACUUCUUUCCAACCAAGUCACGCUAAAAGAAACAAGAAAAUAUGGUAAUUUCCAGAAAUCAAGGGUUGUCAGGUUAUAGAGGCUCGAUCGUCCGAUUAAACAUUGAUAGUAAUUCGUAAACUUAGCAAUUCAUAAACUUAGUAUGAAAAUGACAAUUAGUUUGCCGAUAACAGUGACAAAUAAAGCCCAUCAUUAAGUAGUACUCUAG